rnacentral:pre_miRNA from 1 species
AUGUAGAGCGAUCUCUGUCUAAGUAGGGGUAAAUGACUCUAAAAAAAAAAAAAAAUGAUCCUAGAUAGUUUUCCCUUCAAGUAAAGCGUCUUGU